CGAGUAGUUUUGCUUGAAUAUAUC
rnacentral:siRNA from 1 species